GCCCACAAUUGUGAAGCCCAAAUAGAGAUUCUAAAGUGCGUCCCGCGUAAAAGUGAGCCGUUACGAUUCCCUCCAAAUUUAAACAAAACGAAACAGACUUUGCACAACACAUCACUCAUCCUUCCCUUUCCAUGGAAGAAACAAUAGAUGAAGAGACGGCAAGCAGAGAGAGAGAGAGAGAGAGGGAGAGAAUCGCUUUUUGCGGCUCCGACAAGCUAUUCUUUGCUCUACCCAUCACAUUCUUCUUCUAUAUGCUUUAUAUAUAUAUGCAUUAUAGAAAGUCCACAAGGAACCAGUGAAAACCCAUUUCGAUUUCAAAUCUCCUGCAUUCACAAUCAUGUCUUCCACCCCUCCACCUCCUCCAACAACCAAUAAUAGCAUUGGCAUUGGCAUUGGCAACAGCAACAGCAACAGAAACAGAAACUCUCCGCUAUAUUGGUGUUACCAAUGUCACCGGACUGUCAGAAUUCCCUCUGAAAACCCAUCUGACCUCGUCUGUACUCACUGCUCCGGACAAUUUUUAUACGAAAUCGACGUAGCCAGGCCUACGCUUGUUUUUGAUUUCACCCAAUUCGAUCCCUCCCCUGAAGCCCGCAUUCUCGAAGCCCUCACUCUCAUGAUCGAUCCACUUAUUGCCCACCAAAAUCAAAAUCAGUUCCCAGAUAUAGGACUUCAACCGCCUUGGCGGCGGCGUCAUGGUUUUGGAAGUCGGGGUUGGCACUGGCCGUGGAGGCGAAACAGGGUUGUCGAUGAGAGUGAUGAUUGGGACCCAGAAAGUGGGAUUCUUGCUCGUCCUCGCUCCUGGAUUAUCCUCAGACCUGUAGGACCUCCACCUGUUCGACAAAAUUCCCAACUCGAAGGUUUUGUUCCUCCGGGGGCUAAUCCUCAGGAUUACUACAUUGGGCCUGGGCUAAGAGAGUUGAUCGAUGAACUGACUCAGAACGACAGACAAGGCCCUCCCCCGGCCCCUGACUCGGAAAUCAACGCUCUGCCAACUGUGAAAAUCACCAAGGACCAUCUAGUCGACGAUUCAAAUUGCCCUAUUUGCAAGGAAGAAUUUAAAGUUGGUGGGGAAGCAAAAGAGCUGCCUUGUAAACAUGUGUAUCACUCUGACUGCAUUGUUCCUUGGUUGAGGCUUCACAACUCUUGUCCUGUUUGCCGGCACGAGCUGCCAGUUCCGUUUGAGAACAGAGUUGAGGACGAGCUGCAAGUUCCGUUUGAGAACGGGGUUGAGGAUGAUGAGACUGAUGAGGAUUCUUUUGAUGAAGCAAUUUCUAGAUACAGGCCACACAGGCGGAACAGGAGGUGCUUGAGGUUAAGACAGUUAGCCUCCUCUUUAUGGCCCUUCCGCUCAAGGUAUCGCCGACCACUUGAUCCCCAAGCAGCUAACUCAUCGUCGCAUUCAUGCUUUAUUCUUUAGCCCGUGAUGUUUCAGUCAUCAAUGUCCGAAGAAGUUUAUGAACAUGAAAUGGCAGCGGUUAAACAUAUCACGGCUGGUAGAUAAUACAGUAUGCUUAUUUUCCAUAUGUUGCUUUAUACGAUUAUUUUACUCAAGUAUCAACGUUCAUGGUGGAAGUGAUUUCUUGUAAUCGGCCAUUGCAAGAAAAUCCCACAGGACUUCAACUGUUUGGUGUACAUUGAUUGCUAUAAAGAAUAUCCUCAGGAAAAAAAUUGGAGGAAGGAAAAAAAAAAGUUGAACCAAACUGCUUCUGUUAGGAUCAUUGUAUCUGCUGUAAUGACCGAUUAGAUGUUUGAUUUCAACAUUAACAAAUUAAAAAAUCAAUAUAAAAAAAGUUAUUGCAGCAGGAUUAUUGUCAUACUGGUUGAUAAUCAAGCAACUACGCAUUGUUACUUCUAAA